rnacentral:lncRNA from 1 species
ACUUCUAAAGUUGGCGGUGUUUCGUACCGGCCGCGGGAUUUCGCGGACUGGGGCGCUGAGGUUCUUUGAGCGGCGUGUGGACCUGAAUUCCCUGGAAACAGGCUGGGGCCGCGAGGGGCCUCCGCUCCGGGCGGGGUCCCCAGAUAGCCCCGCCUCGAAUAAAAAUGACGAGCACGGGUCCUCUCUCGGGCCCGCAGUGGGUGGACUGCGUCGCAGACCCGUAGUGGAGGCGCCCAGCUCGCCGGGGAGAUUCGAGUGGAAACCCUCACGGCCGCCGGUGGUGGGCCCCGGCGCGGCGCUGGGCUCCGGCGGGUCUGCGCUGGGGAGGGCCAGGGCCCCUGAAGCCGGCGUCCCUCUUAGGGGACGCGCCUGGGUGUGUCUUCACCGUUUGCCUGGUGAGUUGGAGACAGGGUCUCGCUCCGUCGCCCAGGCUGGAGUGCAGUGGUAGGAUCAGGGUUCAUUGUAGCCUCCGCCUCAGCCUCUGGAGUAGCUGGGACCUCAGGCGCGCGCCACCACGCCCGGCUAAUUUUUUAAAUUUUUUUGUAGAGACGGGGUUGGGGGAGGCGGGGGUUAGGGUUGUCCUGGCUGGUCUUGAACUGCGGGGCCUCAGGUGAUCCGCCUGCCUUGGCCUCCCAAAGUGCUGGGAUUACAGGCAUGAGCCACUGUGCCCGGCAAGCAGCUGUUAUAAAUAAAAUACAUGCUGAGCCUGCAAUUUGCUCUUAAUGAAGGCCACUUGUCAGUAGACGGUGCUGCUAAUGCGUGUCCUGCAGCAAAGAUAACCCAGACGGGAUCAUUUUUUAAUUGCCCAGCAGAACUUUAACCAGUUGUGCAUCUUAACCUGCUUUUUGUUUGUUCGUUUGUUUGUUUUGAGACAGUCUGGCCCUGUCGCCCAGGCUGGAGUGCCAUGGCGCGAUCUCGGUUCACUGCAGCCUCCACCUCCCGAGCACAGGCGAUCCUCCCGCCUCAGCCUCCAGAGCACCUGGGACCACAGGUGUCCACGCGCAGCCACUAACCGCUUUCUUAUCUGACACUUUAAGUGCUUCUUCGUACCCAGCUCCUCUAACGCCUUUUGAAGCAGCUCCAUCAUCUUUGAAGGGCAGUUCAUGCUGUUGAGAAUCAUGUUUUUAACUUUGGGAAAAUUGUAUUUCCACGAGCGCCAGCUCUGUCCUUUUUUUUUUUUUUUUUUUUUUUUUUUUUUGACGGAGUCUUGCUCGGUUCGCCCAGGCUGGAGUGCAGUGUCGCGAUCUCAGCUCACUGCAAGUUCUGUCGCCCAGGUUCACGCCAUUCUCCUGCCUCAGCCUCCCAAAUAGCUGGGACUACAGACACGCGCCACCACGCCCAGCUAAUUUUCUGUAUUUUUAGUAUAGACCGGGUUUCACCAUGUUGGCCAGGAUGGUCUUGAUCUCUUGACCUCAUGAUCCGCCCACCUCGGCUUCCCAAAGUGCUAGGAUUACAGGCGUGAGCCACCGCGCCCCGCUAUUUUGUGUGUGUGUGUGUGUGUGUGUGUGUGUGUGUGUGACAGAGUCUCGCUCUGUUCCCCAGGCUGGAGUGCAGUGGCGCAAUCUUGGCUCACUGCAACCUCUGCCUCCCGGUUCAAGCGACUCCCCUUCCUCACCCUCCUGAGUAGCUAGGAUUACAGGCAUGCACCACCACGCCCGGCUAAUUUUUGUAUUUUUAGUAGAGAUGGGGUUUCCCCGUGUUGGUCAGGCUGGUCUUGAACUCCUGACCUCAUGAUCUGCCCGCUUCAGCCUCCUAAAAUGCUGGGAUUACAGGCAUGAGCCCGGUCCUGUCCUUUCUUAUGGUCACAAAUCUGGCUUGCAUCGCUGGGCACAUCUUUAAUCCACAGCUUCUUUCUAGGAGUGCUUGAAAAGCUCUCCUUUUAUGAAGGUUAAUUUUAGUUAAAACCAGAGCAUCCUGGCCAGGCCUGGUGGCUCACGCCUGUAAUCCCAGCACUUUGGGAGGCCGAGGCAGACGGAUCAUGAGUGUAGGAGUUCGAGAACAGCCUGGCCAAAAUGGUGAAACCCCAUCUCUACUAAAAAAAAAAUACAAAAAUUAGCUGGCCGUGGUGACGGGUGUCUGUAGUCCCAGCUACUCUGGAGGCUGAGGCAGGAGAAUCUCCUGAACCCCGGAGGUGGAGGUUGCAGUGAACCGAGAUUGCGCCACUGCACUCCAGCCUGGGCGACAGAGACUCCAUCUCAAAAAUAAACAGAAAACCAGAGCAUCCUUUUAUCAAGAAGUCGGUGGAUUGCAGUAUUUCAAGGGUGAACAAGUAAAUGCAGCCUUCUCCAAGAGUGAAUCUCAUUCUGGCACCAGAAUUUAUCCAUGACAGAUAAUUGACCUUCUGAUAAACAUUCCUUGUAAGGAUGCUGGUGUUACCCAAAAUAUUAAAUAUUUAUAAAGCUGAAUAAAAUGUAAGUUCUGAUACCUUCCUCACUCUACAAAGGAUCAUUUCGUGCCUCACACUGUUUGCCAGGCCGUGCUGUAGCGCUUUGUCGUAAAAUACACACAGAUUUCAAUGACUUAACGUAGGAGAAGAAUGUAAAAUACCUUGUUGACUAAAGAAAAACAGUUAAGCUUUUAAAGAAUUAAAGUUAGUUUUAUUCAGAAGCCUUACUGAGGACCGUACAUCCUGGCCCCAGCCCAGGAGCUCAAGCGAUCCUCCUACCUCAGCCUCUCAAAGUGCUGGAAUCACAGGUGUGAGCUACCAGGCCUCUCACCUUGUUCAAAGUUAAAAUCUAAUCCACAAACUGCUUAGAUUUGUUUUCCUUCAUAUUUUUAUGACUAGAUGAUCUAACAUUUUACACCAUUUUUCUGGAAAUGUUGUUUAUGCCAGGUGUCUGAACACACAUCUUAAAGGGCUCUAACUUUUCUGGGGAGCAGUAGCUUUUUAGCCCAGAGUCUAUGACAAUGUGACAAUGAUGAGAGCUGCUGAGGUUUGCUGCAGUCUCUGGGUGAACGAUGCUUUCUAGGGAAACAAUGGGGCAUAAAACAGACAUGGGCUCUCCUGCCUUGAGAUUAAUCGCGUGAGAUGGACCCCUCCCCAACACACAAACAUUGUGGGACAUGAGGUGCUGGAGACGGGGUUGCUCACCCAGAGCUUAAUGGGUCUGUCCACCUUUGGGCCCUGGGAUGAUGAGGGUAAAUCCACUUUUUAGAGCAGGAAUCUCCAAACCCCAGGCCACGGACCAGUAUCAGCACCUGUCUGUGGCCUGUUAGGAACCAGGCGGUGCAGCAGGAGGCAAGCAAGGGAGCUAAACUGAGCUCUGCCUGCUGUCAGCAGCAGCACUGGACUCAGAGGAGUGUGAACCCUGUUGUGAACUGCACAUGCGAGGGAUCUAGGUUGUGCACUCCUCAUGAGAAUCUAAUGCCUGAUGAUGGGAGGUGGAAUAGUUUCAUCCCGAAACCACUACCCCAUCCAUCUCUGGAAGAAUUUUUUUCCACCACCUGUGGAAAAGUUGUUGACGUGGCUAGACUUUGUGUCUUCACCCACAUCUCAUCUUGAAUUGUAAUCCCAUAAUCCCUAUAAUCCCCACGUGUCGAGGGAGAAGCCAGGUGGAGUAAUUGAAUCACGGGGAUGAGUCCCCCAUGCUGUUGUCUUGAUAGUUGUCUCGAGAUCUGAUGGUUUUAUAAGGGGCUCUUCCCCCUUUGCUUGGCACUUUUCCCUUCCUGCCAUCUUGUGAAGAAGGUGCCUUGCUUCCCCUUCACCUCCUGCCAUGAUUGUAAGUUUCCUGAGGCCUCCCAAGCCAUGCUGAACUGUCAAUUAAACCUCUUUCCUUUAUAAAUAACCCAGUCUCGGACAGUUCUUUAUAGCAGUAUGAAAAUGGAAUAAUACAUUUGUCUUCCACAAAACCCAUCCCUGUUGCCAAAAAGGCUUUAGAAAACGCAGUGUGGGUAGGUGGUGAAUAGAUGGGAGGAGACUCAUGUUUUUGUCAUGUAGGAGAGCAGCAAGAGCUCCUCUCAGGAGAAGAGGUUUUUGCUGUGAAAUAUGGUGCGUGCUUUUCCAUGGCCUAUGUAGUGCUCAGCAGAUGCCCUAGCAUCAAUAGGAUCCCAAACCCCUUGUUCUGUUUAUUACUGGUAGGCAGUUAGGAUCGUGUCAGCCAUGUCUUGAGAACAUGCCUUGUGAGUCAUGCACCAGAUUUGUUAAAGUGUCGGCUCUGUGUAGCUCUGUUGUGCUAUGCAUAACAUCUACUUAAAAAAUGAGAGCUGACAGCCUCGCUUAGCUUUCUAUCCACAAGUCCCCUGCUUAAAAUUCUGGAUAAAUGUUUCCGUUCCUAUGGGAAACCUCCAUUAUCUCCAUAAGUAGAGAAUGCAGAUAGGUAUCUUUUUUCUUUUACUGAUGGAGACACUAAGGCCCAGUGUGAUAAGUUCAAGCGCCCUACAGGGAAAGGCACAAGCAGGCCAGGCUCUAGAGUUCCCUAAACAGUAGCUAUAGUGCCUGCCCUUUGUCCCUGGCCCCCAAGGUGUCUAGGAAAAGAGGCUCCCGGUCACUGAGGUAGACAGACCCCUAUGCCUGGUCUCAGCAUCCUCGCUGUCACCGGCAUCUCACUUCCCACAUGGUUUCCACGUUGGGGAGGGAGACUACUCACCCCAUUAAAUGCGGCUGCUAGGGUCAUGUCUGUUUCGCCCCCACUGUUUCCCUAAUGCUCAGUAGGUGUUCAAUAAAUAGUUGUUGGCUUACUCAAUGUGUGGACCUCUGGGGCAAGAGAGAGGGAGGGACACAACGCAGUCCCAGCUGGCCAGGAGCGCUGUGAGCUCAGGAGGUUGCUGUGGGGGAGAUGGUGAGGUAGGAAUUUGGCAGGACUUGUUUCACAAGAUAGAGGUCACAAAGACCCGCUGAUAAAACAGGAUGUGGUAAAGAAGCCUCCAAACUCCACCAAAAGCAGGAUGGUGAUGAAAGCAGCCUCCGCCUGUCCUCACUGCUCCUUAUAUGCUAAUUAUAACGCAUCAGCUGCCAAAAGACACUCCCACCAGCCAUGACAGUCUCCAAAUGCUAUGGCCACCCCUGAAAGUUACCCUAUGUGGUCUGAAACAGGGAGGAACCCUCAGUUCCGGGAAUUGCCCACCCCUUUCCUGGAAAACUCAUGAACAGUCCACCCCUUUUUAGCAUACGAUUAAGAAAUUACCAUAAAAGCCAACUGGCACCC